rnacentral:rRNA from 1 species
CUACGGGUGGCUGCAGUGAGGAAUAUUGCACAAUGGGGGGAACCCUGAUGCAGCAACGCCGCGUGGAGGAUGACGCAUUUCGGUGUGUAAACUCCUUUUAUAUGUCAAGAAAAUGACGGUAGCAUAUGAAUAAGCACCGGCUAACUCCGUGCCACCAGCGCGCGGUAAUACGGAGGGUGCAAGCGUUACUCGGAAUCACUGGGCGUAAAGGACGCGUAGGCGGGUUGGAAAGUCAGGUGUGAAAUCCUACAGCUUAACUGUAGAACUGCACUUGAAACUUCUAAUCUAGAGUAUGGGAGGGGGAGAUGGAAUUAGUGGUGUAGGGGUAAGAUCCGUAGAUAUCACUAGGAAUACCUAAAGCGAAGGCGAUCUCCUGGAACAUUACUGACGCUAAGGCGUGAAAGCGUGGGGAGCAAACAGGAUUAGAUACCCGAGUAGUC